UGCUAUAUCAAGUAGAGGGUCUUUAGAGC
rnacentral:piRNA from 1 species